GGCUCAGGACGAACGCUGGCGGCGUGCUUAAUGAAUGCGAGUCGAGCGAGAACCAGUUGCGUGCUUGCACAAGACUGGGGACAGCGGCGAACGGGUGAGUAACACGUGGGUCACCUGCCCUGCAGACGGGCACAACAGCUGGAAACGGCUGCUAAUUCCCGAUGGUCUGUCACCUCACAAGGGGUGCCAGUAAAGGUUAAUUCCGCUGCAGGAUGGGCCCGCGGGCCAUUAGCUUGUUGGUGGGGUAAAGGCCUACCAAGGCGACGAUGGCUAGCCGGUCUGAGAGGACGAUCGGCCACACUGGGACUGAGACAUGGUCCAGACUCCUCCGGGAGUUAGCAUCAGGGAAUCUUGCGCAAUGGGCGAAAGCCUGACGCAGCGACGCCGCGUGAGGGAUGAAGGUCUGCGGAUCGUAAACCUCUGUAAGCAGGGACGAAUGCCCGGUUCGGCCGGGAGUGACGGUACCUGCAGAGUAAGCUCCGGCUAACUACGUGCCAGCAGCCGCGGUAAUACGUAGGGAGCCAGCGUUGUCCGGAUUUACUGGGCGUAAAGAGCGCGUAGGCGGUCUGAUUAGCGGAGGGUGAAAUCCCGGGGCUCAACUCCGGGGCUGCUCUCCGAACUGUCAGACUAGAGUACGGGAGAGGACAGUGGAAUUCCUGGUGUAGCGGUGGAAUGCGUAAAUAUCAGGAGGAACACCCGUGGCGAAGGCUGCUGUCUGGAACGUGACUGACGCUGAGGCGCGAAAGCUAGGGGAGCGAACGGGAUUAGAUACCCCGGUAGUCCUAGCCGUAAACGAUGGACACUAGGUGUUGGAGGCAUCGACCCCUUCAGUGCUGUUCUGCUAACGCGUUAAGUGUCCC
rnacentral:rRNA from 1 species